rnacentral:lncRNA from 1 species
AAUGAUGUCAGAAGCCUGGAGGAACACCCGAGAGAUGGCGCCGGCGACCACUGCUGCAUGAUUCCUGUGACCGUCCCUGAGCUCUUGAAGGCCCAGAUGUUGACCUUGCUGGGAAAACUGCGGAUGCAGACGAUGCUGUUUCAUUCUUCGAGGCACCUCUUACGGUCACUGGCAUCUUGAAUGGUGCUGUGUAUACUCACCUGCCAAUCCCUGUGGUCUGUGCAGCCAGCUGGCUGUAGCCAGUGUUGCGGGGUGAGAGUCAGAGGUGGGGGGGAAAGGAAAUAGAGGCUGAGGUCCCUGUGUGGAACUGGCCAGGGAUUGUUCCUGUGGACUGGGGCUGCCAAACUGACCUGCUUUGUCUUUCCAUGGGUGACUCAAUCCCGGCACACCAUCAGCUCUCAGGCAUCUUCAUGGGCUUUAUUCACUCCUGGCAGGACAGUCUACAUUAUGAAGCCCAGUGGAAAACAGAAACAGGAGACCCCAUGUUCAAAAUUAUUAAGAAUUUCAAGAUGGCGUCAGUAGAACACUGAAUCACGUGGGGAGGACAUUUCUGAGCACAGGACCCUGUGCACACAGCCACGUGUACAGGGCUCACAGCCAUGAAGCUGGUUUUGACUCUUGGCCCUGCCUGUCUCCACCUGGACACCUGAAUAAACUCUGAAAACCUCAGUCA